rnacentral:rRNA from 1 species
ACAGAGGUGGCGAACGUUGUUCGGAUUUACUGGGCGUAAAGGGUCCGCAGGCGGUCCGGUGUGUCGGAUGUGAAAGCUCACAGCUCAACUGUGGAAUUGCAUUCGAAACUGCCGGACUAGAGUACUGGAGGGGAGAAGGGAACACUUGGUGUAGCGGUGAAAUGCGUAGAUAUCAAGUGGAACACCGGAGGCGAAGGCGCUUCUCUGGACAGAUACUGACGCUCAUGGACGAAAGCUAGGGUAGCGAAAGGG